GAGGAAUAUUGGUCAAUGGGCGAGAGCCUGAACCAGCCAAGUAGCGUGAAGGAUGACUGCCCUAUGGGUUGUAAACUUCUUUUAUAAAGGAAUAAAGUCGGGUAUGCAUACCCGUUUGCAUGUACUUUAUGAAUAAGGAUCGGCUAACUCCGUGCCAGCAGCCGCGGUAAUACGGAGGAUCCGAGCGUUAUCCGGAUUUAUUGGGUUUAAAGGGAGCGUAGAUGGAUGUUUAAGUCAGUUGUGAAAGUUUGCGGCUCAACCGUAAAAUUGCAGUUGAUACUGGAUAUCUUGAGUGCAGUUGAGGCAGGCGGAAUUCGUGGUGUAGCGGUGAAAUGCUUAGAUAUCACGAAGAACUCCGAUUGCGAAGGCAGCCUGCUAAGCUGCAACUGACAUUGAGGCUCGAAAGUGUGGGUAUCAAACAGGAUUAGAUACCCUGGUAGUCCACACGGUAAACGAUGAAUACUCGCUGUUUGCGAUAUACGGCAAGCGGCCAAGCGAAAGCGUUAAGUAUUCCACCUGGGGAGUACGCCGGCAACGGUGAAACUCAAAGGAAUUGACGGGGGCCCGCACAAGCGGAGGAACAUGUGGUUUAAUUCGAUGAUACGCGAGGAACCUUACCCGGGCUUAAAUUGCAGAUGAAUUACGGUGAAAGCCGUAAGCCGCAAGGCAUCUGUGAAGGUGCUGCAUGGUUGUCGUCAGCUCGUGCCGUGAGGUGUCGGCUUAAGUGCCAUAACGAGCGCAACCCUUGUUGUCAGUUACUAACAGGUUCCGCUGAGGACUCUGACAAGACUGCCAUCGUAAGAUGUGAGGAAGGUGGGGAUGACGUCAAAUCAGCACGGCCCUUACGUCCGGGGCUACACACGUGUUACAAUGGGGGGUACAGAGGGCCGCUACCACGCGAGUGGAUGCCAAUCCCCAAAACCUCUCUCAGUUCGGACUGGAGUCUGCAACCCGACUCCACGAAGCUGGAUUCGCUAGUAAUCGCAGAUCAGAAUGCUGCGGUGAAUACGUUCCCG
rnacentral:rRNA from 1 species